CAUAUAUACCGCUCUAUCGCUUUCGGAAUGCCGGAAGAGGAAAGUCCGGACAACGUAGAGUACCACACCAUCUAACGGAUGGGAUUUCUCCAAAAGAGGAGUACAGCAUAGUGUCACAGAAAAUAACCGCCUUCGGGUAAGGGUGAAAAUGAGAGGUAAGAGCUCUCGUGGUGGUGCAGCAAUGUGUCAUCAGGACAAACCUUGUGGGUUGAAAUGUCAUGUAUAUCCAUAUCUUCUUGUAAGAAAAACUGACUCGGUUUUUUAGCUUAACGGCUUAUGUGGAGGGGUAGGCAGCUUAGAUAAAUGAUAGAGGGCAUGCAGCAAUGUAUGUUACAGAAUCCGGCUUAUAGGUAUAUAUUUUUA
rnacentral:RNase_P_RNA from 1 species